rnacentral:rRNA from 1 species
CUCACAUCCACCAACGCCAGGGUAUUACGAGCUUUAGCUUAAAACCCAAAGGACUUGACGGUGUCCCAUCCACCUAGAGGAGCCUGUUCCAUCAUCGAUAAUCCCCGCUACACCUAACCACCCCUUGCCAAUCAGUCUGUAUACCUCCGUCGUAAACUUACCAUGUGAGUGCUCACAGUAAGUUUAAUGGCCACCAUCACCAAUACGUCAGGUCAAGGUGCAGCUUAUGGGGCGGCAGGCAAUGGGCUACAAUUUCUAUACUAGAACAAACGAAACGCUGCAUGAAAUACAGCCACGAAGGCGGAUUUAGUAGUAAAAAGAAAAUAGUGUGUUCUUUUUAACUAGGCCCUGGGACGUGUACACACCGCCCGUCGCCCUCUUCAACAGUAACUUAAUAAAUAUUUAAUUACCCAAUACACCUUAGAAGAGGUAAGUCGUAACAUGGUAAGUGUACCGGAAGGUGCACUUGGAUUAA